GAUGAACGCUGGCGGCGUGCCUAAUACAUGCAAGUCGAGCGAACGGACGAGAAGCUUGCUUCUCUGAUGUUAGCGGCGGACGGGUGAGUAACACGUGGAUAACCUACCUAUAAGACUGGGAUAACUUCGGGAAACCGGAGCUAAUACCGGAUAAUAUUUUGAACCGCAUGGUUCAAAAGUGAAAGACGGUCCUGCUGUCACUUAUAGAUGGAUCCGCGCUGCAUUAGCUAGUUGGUAAGUUAACGGCUUACCAAGGCAACGAUGCAUAGCCGACCUGAGAGGGUGAUCGGCCACACUGGAACUGAGACACGGUCCAGACUCCUACGGGAGGCAGCAGUAGGGAAUCUUCCGCAAUGGGCGAAAGCCUGACGGAGCAACGCCGCGUGAGUGAUGAAGGUCUUCGGAUCGUAAAACUCUGUUAUUAGGGAAGAACAUAUGUGUAAGUAACUGUGCACAUCUUGACGGUACCUAAUCAGAAAGCCACGGCUAACUACGUG
rnacentral:rRNA from 1 species